UGAAAAAAUCACUCGCGCGGACUUGGAAUUUUUUGUUUUUAUUUUGAGUUUUUCAAGUUAAUCGAUAAAAGUUUUAAAAACUUCGAAAAAUUCGGAUUGUUGACUGGUGUCGUUGUAUUGCGGACUUUUCGACCGAUAACUCUUUUUCCUCGGUGCUGCCACAACAGCAGUGCCAGUCCUUAACCCCAUCGAAGAACCCAGCUGAUCAAUAAUAACGAAUUCGAUAAUGCUGCAUUGGAUCACGAAAAACCAACCGCCACUGUGGCAGUUCCCCGGUGGCUAAUAAGUGAAAAGCUAAAACAAAGCCGAAAUCAUGGGCCAAUCCUCCGAUGUCACGCACCGUCCCUGCCGGCCAACUAAAAGAACAGUGUCCCCAUCCUCAAGCUUAUUACAUAAUUCUCGAAACAGCCACACGAAGAGGUCCAACACGUACAGCGACUCGCCGGGAAAUCAGCGGACAUCUGCCCUUCGGUGGGCACGGACGGCGGCCCUUCAAACGGCCUUCAGUACGAGAAAAAAAAUAGACGACAAGCAGCAUCACCCCCACCACCAACAGCCACAGGAUCUAUUGCAAUCCGACGACUCCGUUUCAGAUCAGUCCGACAGGUUAUAAACCGAUGGUGGCGAGCCGAAAAACGUUAUUUACAGCGGCAAAGCGUAGAUCUACUCGAGGAUCUACUACAACGACGGCAAAGGAAGAUCGGGCUAGCUCUAUAUUAAAUCGCAUACCGUUAUUACUCAUCCAGCACAAGCAUUAAAAGCACAAGGUCAAAAAGAUCCGGGAUAGAGCAAACGUCAUGAGCCUGGCGGGAACUACUUGCGCAAACUCAGCAGGAUGUAAACAGUGUCGCCGCUCAAUAUAAUUCAACUUGGGAUGGGCAUUAGACGUAGGAUAACCCAUAGCUGAGACGUUUGCUCCUGCCAUCAUCACUUCAGAAGUUCAAAUCCACCAGGAUGAUUAUCAGCCGUUAUACGCAUAAUUGCCCCAUGUUAUUUCGGAGGGCAUUGUUGGGAAUCGAUGGGUUCACACUUAACCAGAAACCAGUUUUACUGAGUUUAUUCGGUAAUCAGUCAAAUUUCACGUUUUCCGCUAAAUUUCCUUGUAAUCACCGAUACCUGUAAAAUGUAUUACCGAUGUUCGAGAGUUUCAUCUGGAUUUACCGAAAUCUGUGUUUAAUCUCACUGAAAAAUUUGUAAUAUAGACAUUACACACAUUACAUCUAGUGGCUAUCUUCCUCGCUUUCUGCAAUUCAUCGAUUGGGAGUAAUAAUGGAGGUUUACCAUCGGUCGAGCCAUCGGUACAAAACACCUGACGAAUUAUAUUUACCAGCACGCAUUUCAUCGCUAGGAAAUGUUUCUGCAUUCUAUGCUACACAUCGAAUAAUACACGAUAGAUUUCGUUGGUAACUUUGACGGGAUACAUCAUCAGAUCACCAAGAGUUUUGUGAACGUGUGUAUGUAGCGGAU